rnacentral:rRNA from 1 species
GGGAACCACCCCUGGUACGGGAUAGCUCCGGGAAACUGGAGAUAAUACCGUAUGUGACCUGAGGGUCAAAGAUUCAUCGCCAAGGGAUGGGCCCGCGUCGGAUUAGCUAGUUGGUGGGGUAACGGCCUACCAAGGCGACGAUCCGUAGCUGGUCUAAGAGGAUGAUCAGCCACAUUGGGACUGAGACACGGCCCAAACUCCUACGGGAGGCAGCAGUAGGGAAUAUUGGGCAAUGGGCGAGAGCCUGACCCAGCCAUGCCGCGUGCCGGAUGAACGCCUUCUGGGUUGUAAACGGCUUUUCUCAGGGAAGAAAAAGGGGAUGCGUCCUCAACUGACGGUACCUGAGGAAUAAGCACCGGCUAACUCCGUGCCAGCAGCCGCGGUAAU